rnacentral:miRNA from 1 species
CUGACCUAUGAAUUAACAGAG